AGAGAAAGAAAGACCACAGACCUGGAGCUUCCUCCAGUGCCGUGGCACUCCCACAUGGUGCUGGGGUUUGAACCACAACCAUAUACAUGGCAAGACCUGCACCUAACCAGAUUUAUUUAUUUUCUGAGAGAAAGAGACCAGAGUACUUCCCAGCUCAGGCAUUAUGGCAACACCAGGGAUUGAACUUGUGCCCUCUGGAACCUCAGAUGUGUCAAAAAGUAGAAUCUCACUACCAUUAUAAGAUGAAUUUCUAUUCCAUAGGAGGAUUAUUGCUGGGGCUUAGUGCCUGCACCAUGAAUCUACUGCUCCUAGAGUGGAUUUUCCCCCCUUUUGUUGCCCUUGUUGUUGUAGCCCUGUUGCGGUUAUUAUUGUUGUUGUUGAUGUCAUUCGUUGUUGGACAGGACAGAGAGAAUUGGAGAGAGGAGGGGAAGACAGAGAGGGGGAGAGAAAGACAGACACCUGAAUACCUGCUUCACCGCCUGUGAAGCAACUCCCCUGCAGGUGGGGAGCCACGUGCGCUUAACCCACUGCACUACCGCCCGACUUCCUGUCUUUUGUUUUUUAAGGAAAUAUUCACUUGGGUGCUUUUUAUUUAUAAAGCUGACCUUUGUGACCAAAUCCUCUGGAGGAAUCACCCUGUUUAGGUGUUGGAACUUUUUUUUAAAAGAUUUUAUUUAUUCAUGAGAAAUGAUAGAAGGAGAAAGAGAAAAAAAUCACAUCACUCUGGUAUAUGUGUUGCCAGGGACUGAACUUGGAAGCUCAUGC